AAUGGCAGGUCAGCAUACUGCCGUGAAUACGUUCCCGGGCCUUGUACACACCGCCCGUCCACACCAUGAGAGUUGGGAAUACCCGAAGCCUGUGAGCUAACUUUUAGAGGCAGCAGUCGAAGGUAGAAUCAAUGAUUGGGGUGAAGUCGUAACAAGGUAAC
rnacentral:rRNA from 1 species